rnacentral:tRNA from 2 species
UCGGGGAUAGCUCAGCGGUAGAGCAGCGCGCUGUUAACGCGUUGGUCCAGGGUUCGAAUCCCUGUCCCCGAG